UACGGAGGGUGCGAGCGUUGUCCGGAAUCACUGGGCGUAAAGGGCGCGUAGGCGGCCUACUAAGUCGGACGUGAAAUCCCUCGGCUCAACCGGGGAACUGCGUCCGAUACUGGUGGGCUCGAAUCCGGGAGAGGGAUGUGGAAUUCCAGGUGUAGCGGUGAAAUGCGUAGAUAUCUGGAGGAACACCGGUGGCGAAGGCGGCAUCCUGGACCGGUAUUGACGCUGAUGCGCGAAAGCCAGGGGAGCAAACGGG
rnacentral:rRNA from 1 species